rnacentral:rRNA from 1 species
AAUCCUCGAGAGUGGCGAACGGGUGAGUAAUAUAUCGGAACGUGCCCAGUAGUGGGGGAUAGCCCGGCGAAAGCCGGAUUAAUACCGCAUGAGACCUGAGGGUGAAAGCGGGGGACUCGCAAGAGCCUCGCGCUACUGGAGCGGCCGAUAUCAGAUUAGGUAGUUGGUGGGGUAAAAGCCUACCAAGCCUGCGAUCUGUAGCUGGUCUGAGAGGACGACCAGCCACACUGGGACUGAGACACGGCCCAGACUCCUACGGGAGGCAGCAGUGGGGAAUUUUGGACAAUGGGCGAAAGCCUGAUCCAGCCAUGCCGCGUGCGGGAAGAAGGCCUUCGGGUUGUAAACCGCUUUUGUCAGGGAAGAAAUCCUUUGAGCUAAUACCUCGGAGGGAUGACGGUACCUGAAGAAUAAGCACCGGCUAACUACGUGCCAGCAGCCGCGGUAAUA